AAGAUUAGCUCAGUUGGUUAGAGCAUGGCACUAAUAAUGCCAUGAUUGUGGGUUUAAUCCCCAUAUCACUUA
rnacentral:tRNA from 1 species